UAUUGCUAUUGCUCUGUGCUUCACACACUGUAGCAACUAGCUCGGGCACUCGUUGCUCUGCAGAGGUGGGCAGCAGCACAGCAGAGGAUGCCCAUGACCAGGCAGCAUCCAGCAGUAACAGCACGGGCACCGCUCCUCCAUUAUUGCCUCGCCCUGCAGACUCUGCUCCUCCAUUGAAGGGAACCACCGUCGCUCUUUUUCAGCUUGCUGUGUGCUCCAUCCAAAUCCAAAAUCCAAAUCCAACCAUGGCGCUCAAGAGGAAGAGUAGAUCCAUCGCCUUCCUCAACCGCCAUUGCUAGCUCCUGUAACUCAAGCAAGCUGCCAGGGGAUCUGGCUGGCGUUUCCAGGCGGUCGCUCAACACCCUACACCGGUCUUGCUGCAGCCGGCAGCGCCGGUAGGAAGAUUUCACCACAGAGCAUUUGGAGGCGGUUGCUCAAGCUGCCAGGGGUGCUGCUGCUUCUACUUGUUAUUUAACAUGAAAAUGUUCAGUCGUUAGCCUAAAAUACUUGACUCUAGUCUUCAGAAGCAGUGAACAGAAUAGAAGCUGUAAACAAAGUUGUAAAUGUUUCAGAUAGAAUGGUCACUACACCCACACCAGAUUCACAACAGUUAAGUGAAAGAGUGAGACUCAAGGACCUUGGUGGUCAGGAUGAGCAAUUCAUCCUGCAGGUUUGUUCACAUAAGAAAGGAACACACUUUUUGCUGUUCUUACUUUGAAAAUUACAAGGAAAAACUAAAUGAAACAGAUACCUUGUUCAAAGUCCAAACUUUAGCUCCCACUACUUGCAGCCUUCUAGGAAAGAAAGCAAUAAUAGUAUUCCUCCAAAUUGCCUGCAUUCUAAAGUGAAGGGUGUGUGUGUGUGUGUGUAUUAUACUGUAUGUAGUGUCGUUGUUCACUGAUUAAAGUGAACGGAAGAUCGCAGACUCUUCAGAUUAAGAAGGGAUCAACCAUUGAACGAUCUGCGCAAGCAAACAAAUGAACAAUGCUACAUUUUCGUGCAGUUAAUAUCUGUGUGAAUCAAGAUAGUGCUAAUGCCACAAUCGUCAUGCAUACAAAGACGCUGAAAUGUAGCCUUAUGCUUUUACAAUACAAGGGACCUUUGUACUAAAACGCUGCAUAUGCUGAAAUUAUGAAAAGCAGAUAGAAACUAUGCUUCAGCUAGACAUAUAUUGAACUAUAUUUUGGCUGAUCCACAAUAUUCUUCAGCUAAGCCCCCCAACUCUCAAACAAAAGUAGGCAUACAGUCCACUGUAAGAGUAGGUGUGGCAAUAACCAAUCUAUACUGUUUUAGAAGGUACUAGUAACUCCCUCUAACCCUUUUUAUGUGACAUGACAUCAUUGGUUUGCGUGAUUUAACUUUGACCAGUAAUUUCAUUUAUAAUAUAUGGGGUCGUCUAACCAAACAAGAUCUAAGUAGCUAUGCUUCCUUGGUGUUGGAGUGGAUACAUUUUUUUUCUGCAGAUGCAUUUUUUUCUUGUGUAUUUCCUUUGGUUUUCCUACAA